CAGUCGCCACGGGAAUACGUAGGUGGCAAGCGUUGUCCGGAAUUAUUGGGCGUAAAGGGCUCGCAGGCGGUUUCUUAAGUCUGAUGUGAAAGCCCCCGGCUCAACCGGGGAGGGUCAUUGGAAACUGGGAAACUUGAGUGCAGAAGAGGAGAGUGGAAUUCCACGUGUAGAGGUGAAAUGCGUAGAGAUGUGGAGGAACACCAGUGGCGAAGGCGAUUCUCUGGUCUGUAACUGACGCUGAGGAGCGAAAGCGUGGGGAGCGAACAGGAUUAGAUACCCCUGUAGUCCCUGUCUCUUAUCC
rnacentral:rRNA from 1 species